UAGAUUGAAGCCAGUUGACUAGGGUAUUUAGCUGUUAACUAAAAUUUCGUGGGAUGGAAGCCCACCAAUCUAG
rnacentral:tRNA from 1 species